GACGAACGCUGGCGGCGUGCUUAACACAUGCAAGUCGAACGGAAAGGCCCUGCUUUUGUGGGGUGCUCGAGUGGCGAACGGGUGAGUAACACGUGAGUAACCUGCCCUUGACUUUGGGAUAACUUCAGGAAACUGGGGCUAAUACCGGAUAGGAGCUCCUGCUGCAUGGUGGGGGUUGGAAGGUUUCGGCGGUUGGGGAUGGACUCGCGGCUUAUCAGCUUGUUGGUGGGGUAGUGGCUUACCAAGGCCUUGACGGGUAGCCGGCCUGAGAGGGUGACCGGCCACAUUGGGACUGAGAUACGGCCCAGACUCCUACGGGAGGCAGCAGUGGGGAAUAUUGCACAAUGGGCGGAAGCCUGAUGCAGCAACGCCGCGUGCGGGAUGACGGCCUUCGGGUUGUAAACCGCUUUCGCCUGUGACGAAGCGUGAGUGACGGUAAUGGGUAAAGAAGCACCGGCUAACUACGUG
rnacentral:rRNA from 1 species